rnacentral:rRNA from 1 species
GCUCAGAAUCAACGCUGGCGGCGUGCCUAACACAUGCAAGUCGAACGAGAACGUGGAGUAAUCCAUGAGUACAGUGGCGACCGGGUGAGUAACACGUGACCAACCUGCCAUCGAGUGGGGAAUAACUCCGGGAACCAGGAGUUAAUACCGCAUAACAUCGCAAGAUCAACGCCGCAAGGCGCUUGAGGAGGGGGUCGCGGCUGAUUAGCUAGUUGGUAGGGUAAUGGCCUACCAAGGCGAAGAUCGGUAGCCGGCCUGAGAGGGCGCACGGGGACCCUGGAACUGAACCACGGUCCAGACUCCUACGGGAGGCAGCAGUGGGGAAUUUUGCGCAAUGGGGGAACCACUGACGCAGCAACGCCGCGUGGAGGAUGAAGUCCAUUGGGACGUAACCUCCUUUCGACCGGGACGAUACUGACGGUACCGGAAGAAGAAGCACCGGCUAACUCUGUGCCAGCAACCGCGGUAAUACAGAGGGUGCGAGUGUUGUUCGGAAUUAUUGGGCGUAACGGGCGCGUAGGCGGCGCGGUAAGUCACCUGUGAACUCUCCUGGCUCAACUGGGAGUUUGCAGGCGAACCUGCCGUGCUAGAGUGUGGGAGAGGUGCGUGGAAUUCCAGGUGUAGCGGUGAACUGCGUAGAUAUCGGGAGGAACACCUGUGGCGAACGCGGCGCACUGGAGGACCACUGACGCUGAGGCGCGAACGCUAGGGGAGCAACCAGGAUUAGAUACCAUGGUAGUCCUAGCCAUAACCUAUGGAUGCUUGGUGUGAUGG